rnacentral:rRNA from 1 species
CCUACGGGUGGCAGCAGUGAGGAAUAUUGGUCAAUGGGCUAAGGCCUGAACCAGCCAAGUCGCGUGAGGGAAGACGGUCCUAUGGAUUGUAAACCUCUUUUGUCGGGGAGCAACGAGGCCACGUGUGGCCGAAGUGAGAGUACCCGAAGAAACAGCAUCGGCUAACUCCGUGCCAGCAGCCGCGGUAAUACGGAGGAUGCGAGCGUUAUCCGGAUUUAUUGGGUUUAAAGGGUGCGUAGGCGGACUGUUAAGUCAGCGGUAAAAGCCCGGGGCUCAACCCCGGCGAGCCGUUGAAACUGGCUGUCUUGAGAUGUCGAGAGGUAUGCGGAAUGCGCAGUGUAGCGGUGAAAUGCUUAGAUAUUGCGCAGAACUCCGAUUGCGAAGGCAGCAUACCGGCGGCGAUCUGACGCUGAGGCACGAAAGCGUGGGUAUCGAACAGGAUUAGAUACCCCAGUAGUC